rnacentral:ncRNA from 1 species
AACGAAAAAGCCAAACUCAUCGUGAGGUGAGGACGGAAAGCCACGGGUCUUAAAAUAAUAAAGAUAGCCGGGUUGCCUGAA